rnacentral:rRNA from 1 species
CUACGGGGUGCUGCAGUGAGGAAUAUUGCACAAUGGGGGGAACCCUGAUGCAGCAACGCCGCGUGGAGGAUGACGCAUUUCGGUGUGUAAACUCCUUUUAUAUGUCAAGAAAAUGACGGUAGCAUAUGAAUAAGCACCGGCUAACUCCGUGCCAGCAGCCGCGGUAAUACGGAGGGUGCAAGCGUUCCGCGGAAUCACUGGGCGUAAAGGACGCGUAGGCGGGUUGGAAAGUCAGGUGUGAAAUCCUACAGCUUAACUGUAGAACUGCACUUGAAACUUCUAAUCUAGAGUAUGGGAGGGGAGAUGGAAUUAGUGGUGUAGGGGUAAAAUCCGUAGAUAUCACUAGGAAUACCUAAAGCGAAGGCGAUCUCCUGGAACAUUACUGACGCUAAGGCGUGAAAGCGUGGGGAGCAAACAGGAUUAGAUACCCUCGUAGUC